GACGAACGCUGGCGGCGUGCUUAACACAUGCCAGUCGAACGGAAAGGCCCUGCUUUUGUGGGGUGCUCGAGUGGCGAACGGGUGAGUAACACGUGAGUAACCUGCCCUUGACUUUGGGAUAACUUCAGGAAACUGGGGCUAAUACCGGAUAGGAGCUCCUGCUGCAUGGUGGGGGUUGGAAAGUUUCGGCGGUUGGGGAUGGACUCGCGGCUUAUCAGCUUGUUGGUGGGGUAGUGGCUUACCAAGGCUUUGACGGGUAGCCGGCCUGAGAGGGUGACCGGCCACAUUGGGACUGAGAUACGGCCCAGACUCCUACGGGAGGCAGCAGUGGGGAAUAGUGCACAAUGGGCGGAAGCCUGAUGCAGCAACGCCGCGUGCGGGAUGACGGCCUUCGGGUUGUAAACCGCUUUCGCCUGUGACGAAGCGUGAGUGACGGUAAUGGGUAAAGAAGCACCGGCUAACUACGUG
rnacentral:rRNA from 1 species